AGUCUCUGCUUUAAUGACUUCCUCAGUGCUGAAUCGCUGGCUUUGCAAAGCUGACAAAGCGUUGAUUCAUGCAUGGGUUUAGUAAUUGCCAAAGUUAGUUUUAUAACUAAGAUUUACAUGGACUAAAGGGCAACUUCCACCUUUAAACUUCCAUUUUGUGAGCUGUUGACAAGAUUCACGAACAGUGUCUGGGGUGAUGUAAUAAUGCCACUAGAUAUACAUUUGAUUUAGGCCUAUAAUUAAUAUACCGGUAAUUGGAAAGAAACAUACGGAUCUUAGUCUCUGUCUGAUACUUGUACUGCGAGGUACAGAAAGACAGCCACUGCAUCUCUGAUGUCAUCAUUUGUUGCCUCCGAAUUCCUUCCAUAUCCCUUCUGUAUAUUGUCAUCAAUCUAUCUGCCGGAGGUGGAUAGAUUGGAGUUGGAGGUAUAGAUAGAUUAUUGGCGUUAAAGAGGCAUUUUUUCCGUUGCUUUUUGGAAGUAGGCUACGGGACUAGCUGCGGGCUGUAACGGGAGUAAAUGAGAUGGUUGCUCAGCGUAACUCCAUAUUUGGUGAUCAAGGAACAUAUUUUGACAUAAUGCUGGCGGAAAGGGAGUUUGAAUCGGAGCUUUCUUUGCGUUAGGGUAAUCCCUGCUAUCUACUCCUGUCCUCUUAUAGGCAGAGGCUUCAAUAACUGCCUCUACAGGCCGUGGCCAUUACAAUAUCAGGUUUCCUUAACACAGAGUAUACACCCUAGGCAUGCUUCAUCGGGAACAAUGCAAGAGCACAGAGGUUGUCUUCCCUUCCCACCACGAGCAGCUAUUAACAGAUUUUUUUACACGCGUCUACAGGAGUCCAGAGGGGGCGAAGGCUGCUUCCUACAUCCAGGACAUGGAGCUGAGGGAGGAAUGGCAGGAUGAGGAGUUCCCCAGACCUCUUCCUGAAGAUUCCCAUAGUCCUGAGACCCAAGGAGAAAAUGCAGAGAGACCAGCUCCACCCACCAGCCUGGCCCUGUCAGAAAACCCCAUAAGGAAGAAGCGUCUGGUGGCGCCCACCCUCAGCCUGACCCUGUCCCGUACCGACUCAGCGGACCGCAGUGUGAAGUCAGGGGACACCGGGUACUCUGCCGCCGCCCUCUCACCCGACGAAGAUGACACGGAGCUGGACAUCAACCUGGAGGCCCUGGAGACGCCCUCGGACAGCGAGUCCUGCAACUUCCCUGACAGCAUGCACGAACUGGAGUGGGAGGAUGACCUGCCACGGCUGGGCCGGGGGGAGGAUGGUGUCUCAGGCACCACGGUGAUGGAGCAGGCAGAGAUGGGCUCGAUGGAGCUAGACCAGGUGGACAACAGGGGGCGUCGCUGGAGAAGGUUCUGCGUCGCAGGACAGGAGUACCACGUCAACAUGAGUGUCCUGGAGCCAUACCUCCAGGUGCUCUCUCACGGAGGUUAUUACGGGGAGGCUAUGAACGCCAUCAUCACGUUCUCCUCCUGUUACCUACCAGAGAACACUGUGGAGAACUAUGAGUACGUCAUGGACAAUCUCUUCAGUUUGUUAUUUGGGUGUGUGUGUACGCUGCAGGUACAUAGUGGGGACGCUGGACCUGAUGGUGUCAGAAGGCUAUGUCAUGGUGUACCUGUGCAGCAUGGCUCCCAGGAAUAAGAUGCCCGCCAUCAAAUGGCUGCGACAGUGUUACACCUCCAUUGACAGAAGGUUGAGGAAGGAUCUGAAGGGGCUCUUUGUGGUCCACCCUGCCUGGUACAUCAAAGCACUCAUCACUGUCGUCAAGCCUUUCAUCAGUGAGAAGUUCAGCCGGAAGAUCCGCUUCAUUCCCAGCCUGCAGGAGCUGUCUGAGUACAUCCCCAUGGAACGCCUGCAGAUUCCCGACAGCAUCCGAGAGUAUGAUGCGAGGAUGAACGGGUGAGGGACAUAUCGCGGGAAGCCAAAGAGUGGACAUUGAGAGUGGAUAGGCGAAGGAGGGGAAGACAGCAGAUGACUGGGAACUAUGGGCUGAAUUACCAUCAAAGUUCAAAAGUUAACUAGUCCAAAUGUCAACCUGCAGGUAUGCUUGGACGUGCAACACUUUUGUUGUACAGAAAAUGAAAGACUUUUAGUGUGUACAGACACACCUUUAAUUUAUUCAUCGUUGAAUGUAAUGUCACUAAAGAAGAUCACUUCUCCAAGCCACUGGCUUUGCAACAGUUUCAUAACUGCCCCUAUUUUGUGGUACUUGAAUGCAACCCUAUCAUAUGUAUUGAUGCCAGAGUGAUUUGUGGGACCUGUCGUCAAGGAGCAACCUACAGUCAGUUUGAACACAACAUAACACUUAGAUGAAAGGUCCAGAUGGUUUUCUGUUACAGUUGCCUUCACUGGAGCUCACAUUGACAUUUACUGCUGCUUUAUCUGUUAGGGCUUACUGCACUCUAGUGCCAAGUACAACACUUUGGGAUGUCACCUUUUUAAUGUUUACUCAAAUGUGAUUGAUGCACAACAAAUACUUUAGGUUAAGAUGGAGACAGUCUAUUUAAUCAAAUAAAUCAGAAUUUACAUAAAUUCUGACGUAUUUUACUGUAUUAUUCUGACCUUGUAAACCUAAGCCUUUUUAUAGCCUACCCUCAGAGCAAAUAUUUAUGGAAGAGAACUCUUGAACAACCUGUACUUUUAGAAUUGUCAUUUUCUAACCAUACUUUCUAUAGCUGAAUGAUCUUCUCACUUUAAGACAUUUGUUUUAGAGCACUGGUUACCACGUGUAAGGGCUUUUACACCAUUUUAAAGGAAGUGGUGUCACCAUGGAAACGUUGCAGGCAUUCAGGACAUGGCAGCCACAGGAAGUGAGGUAGCUAUGGAAGAAGAAUACUGCUGCCUGCAUUUACUGUAACUCGUACACAGGAACAGUGACAUGUCCAUUAAUUAGGGAUGAUGAAGAAUAUUCAUCUGAAAAUGAAAAACAUUUUUCUGAAAAAGGGAGCUAUUGAAUGUAUUGUUUUGUUAGACUUUUAUGCUAAUAAAAAACAUGAGCUGGCGCACACCCAGAAAAAAAUGUUUGUGUGGAGGUGCAGACUAACAACGAAAAAAUGAUAAGCUAUCAAAAUAAAGCCGCACACUCCAUAUAUAAACUCCCAGUAAUUUAUUGGGUAUUUACCAACGUUUCGGCUUCACUGUGCCUUCUUCAGGGUAAUGUCAUGAGUACUUCAAACAGGUUAUGUAGACAAAUAGUGCAAUUAGUGCAACCAAUGACAAUUCUACCACAGGAAAUUGUGGGUUUUUCAAUGUUACUGCUACUGAAUUAUAACACCAUAUUGGGGAUGUUUUUAAAUCUACAGAAGUCCUCAAAAGACUCCUUUAAAAAACUGGUGGUAGUUAACAGAUCUUAAAUACAUGAGACGAUGAUGCAUUCAGUAUUAAAUCAGAUUAGUAUUCAGUAAGAUUAUAUGGUGGUGGUUGGUAUCGCUCAUGUCAGCUGGGUGUUCUGAAAUACUCUGAAUUGUAUUGCAUUGUGGAGGAAGAAACUGAAUGGCCUCAGAUAUGGUGUCCUUCGUUAACACGACUGGAGUCUGACUGCUUGUUUUUCAGGGAUUAUUUCGUACCCCUCUGCAUUCACAUCUUUGUCCCAGUGGUCUGUCUGCUUGCCAGUUGUUCAUGUAAAUAAAGUUGUCAUCAUGGGA